rnacentral:rRNA from 1 species
UACGUAGGGCGCAAGCGUUAUCCGGAAUUAUUGGGCGUAAAGAGCUCGUAGGCGGUUUGUCGCGUCUGCCGUGAAAAGUCGGGGGGCUCAACCCUCGAAUGCCGGUGGAUACUGUCGGGCUAGAGUGCGGAAGAGGCGAGUGGAAUUCCUGGUGUAGCGGUGAAAUGCGCAGAUAUCAGGAGGAACACCUAUUGCGAAGGCAGCUCGCUGGGACUAAACUGACGCUGGAGACGCGAA